UAUAUAUACACAUAGAAGGAAUGGUUAGAGUAAAAUCUGAAAUAGAUUACCUCUAAACCUAGUUAUAGAUGAUUCCCUGCUGUGUAAAGAAGUUAAGUAAAGGGUUCCUAUGAGCUGAAUUAGAGAACUAACUAGAUGUAUAUGUAUAUUGAUACUAUGCAUACAAAUUGAGUUAGUUAGCCUGGAGAAGAGUUAGAUAAAGAGUUCUUGGCUGCUAGGACUUGAAACUUGGUGAGUUGGUGGGCAGAUUAGUGUGUUUGGUCUUGUUGGAGCUGCCGAAAUGGGAAGCUCAACCUGGGAAGCUUCGAACCUGAGAAGAGGAAUUGUGAGCUGCUGCCUUGAUGCAAGUUCUGGGCGCCCGAAAUUGAAAAGGAAUUGAGGAGUUGGCAGCUUGCUGCCUGAUUGUGAUGGGAGGAGCAUCCGAAUUGAGGGGCCGGCAGUUGAAUCAUUGAAAUCUGAGGUCAGACGUGCUCGGAAGUUCGAAUUGAUAUUCCGACGGACCUACGAUGCGUGAAUUAAGAAAUGCUUCGUUCUAGCCCUAUUCGCAUCGAGUCGCAUAGACUAAUGUUUGUACGGUUCGUGACGUUGGUUCUAGUCUUUGACAUCACUACAGGUGGGUGGUGCUAUCCGAAGUCUUUGAAUCACCUUUUAUGUCUAUGGUUUUCCAUUGAGCAUAUUACUUGUAUUCAUGCAUCAUAGGGUAGUGAUAUUAUGCAAGUGAUAUUUGAAUAUGUGAAUGCUUAUCAAUGUUGAGAAAAUGUGAACUUAGAAUGUGGACAUGGAACCCUAUGAAUGUAUGGACUAUAGCAAUAGUAAACUUGGGGACAUUCAACUAGAGAUUUGGUUAGCAUCAAGAAAUGGAAUUGUGAAACUAGUAUAAAGAACUAGUUAGAGUAAAGUGUGACAGUGUUUGUCAGUUGAAUCCUCUAAAGGGGGAUCAGAUCAUACUCAC